rnacentral:rRNA from 1 species
GACGAACGCUGGCGGCGUGCUUAACACAUGCAAGUCGAACGGAAAGGCCCCUUUGGGGGUACUCGAGUGGCGAACGGGUGAGUAACACGUGAGUAACCUGCCCUUGACUUCGGGAUAACUUCAGGAAACUGGGGCUAAUACCGGAUAGGAAUCCUUGCUGCAUGGUGGGGGUUGGAAAGCUUCGGCGGUUUUGGAUGGACUCGCGGCUUAUCAGCUUGUUGGUGGGGUAGUGGCUUACCAAGGCUUUGACGGGUAGCCGGCCUGAGAGGGCGAACGGCCACAUUGGGACUGAGAUACGGCCCAGACUCCUACGGGAGGCAGCAGGGGGGAAUAUUGCACAAUGGGCGGAAGCCUGAUGCAGCAACGCCGCGUGCGGGAUGACGGCCUUCGGGUUGUAAACCGCUUUCAGCAGGGGCGAAGCUUGUGGUGACGGUACCUGCAGAAGAAGCACCGGCUAACUACGUG